GUAGGCAGCGAGCGUUGUUCGGAGUUACUGGGCGUAAAGAGUGCGUAGGCGGUUUUCUAAGUUUGGUGUGAAAUCUCCCGGCUUAACUGGGAGGGUGCGCCGAAGACUGGAAGGCUUGAGUAUGGGAGAGGUAAGCGGAAUUCCUGGUGUAGCGGUGAAAUGCGUAGAUAUCAGGAGGAACACCUGCGGUGUAGACGGCUUACUGGACCAUCACUGACGCUGAGGCACGAAAGCGUGGGUAGCAAACAGGAUUAGAUACCCUGGUAGUCCACGCCCUAAACGAUGCAUACUUGGUGUGGGUAGUUCAUUCUAUCCGUGCCGGAGCUAACGCGUUAAGUAUGCCGCCUGGGGAGUACGGUCGCAAGGCUGAA
rnacentral:rRNA from 1 species